rnacentral:rRNA from 2 species
AUUGCCUCAGUAACGGCGAGUGAAGCGGCAACAGCUCAAAUUUGAAAUCUGGCCCCAGGCCCGAGUUGUAAUUUGCAGAGGAUGCUUUUGGUGAGGUGCCUUCCGAGUUCCCUGGAACGGGACGCCAUAGAGGGUGAGAGCCCCGUCUGGUCGGACACCGAGCCUCUGUAAAGCUCCUUCGACGAGUCGAGUAGUUUGGGAAUGCUGCUCUAAAUGGGAGGUAUAUGUCUUCUAAAGCUAAAUACCGGCCAGAGACCGAUAGCGCACAAGUAGAGUGAUCGAAAGAUGAAAAGCACUUUGAAAAGAGAGUUAAAUAGCACGUGAAAUUGUUGAAAGGGAAGCGUUUAUGACCAGACUUGGCCCGGUUGAUCAUCCAGCGUUCUCGCUGGUGCACUCUGCCGGUCCAGGCCAGCAUCAGUUCGUCGCGGGGGAUAAAGGUUUCGGGAAUGUGGCUCCUCCGGGAGUGUUAUAGCCCGUUGCGUAAUACCCUGCGGUGGACUGAGGUCCGCGCUUCUGCAAGGAUGCUGGCGUAAUGGUCAUCAACGACCCGUCUUGAAACACGGACCAAGGAGUCGUCUUCGUAUGCGAGUGUUCGGGUGUAAAACCCCUACGCGUAAUGAAAGUGAACGCAGGUGAGAGCUUCGGCGCAUCAUCGACCGAUCCUGAUGUUCUCGGAUGGAUUUGAGUAAGAGCAUACGGGGCCGGACCCGAAAGAAGGUGAACUAUGCCUGUAUAGGGUGAAGCCAGAGGAAACUCUGGUGGAGGCUCGCAGCGGUUCUGACGUGCAAAUCGAUCGUCAAAUAUGGGCAUGGGGGCGAAAGACUAAU